CCGCUCUAUGGCAAAAUCCUUUCUGGGCCCGAGGGGAAUUUGCUGCUGUAGUACCAUCUAGUGGCCGUCCGCCGGCCGGCGCGCGGGGAAGGGGGGAGUGUCCUAUCCAGUUAAUUAUAAUACAUCCAUGGGUCUAUUAGAUCCACGCUGAGAAUGGCGGACACGAGAGAAGAGCGGCUGAAGGCAAAAGCAACUUUUAAGAAGAACCUGGACACUUAACAUGCACACUUUCUCAAAGCUAGGGAUGUUAUGACUCGUGACAGUUAUAAAGUUUGUAAUUAUGUCACGUCUGUCGUAUUUGACCGCAAAAAAAGUACUUUUUGCUCGUAGCUAGUUUUGCACAAUGGGAUUUUCAGCCGUUCCCUGGAUCUAACCCCACGACCAAAAGGUGACUCUGCGUUCUUCCUGCUUGUAAGAAACUACGAGUUAGGAGGAAGCGUCUGGGGAGAGCAAGAGACCUGGAGGCGGAUGUGUUCUGAGGAUACAACGGGAUGUGAGUUGAACCUUUUGUGCACCUCUUAACCCCCACCUUAACUGAGGGCAUUUUCUCCAGUUCAGCUUCACCCAAAUCUAAAAGCUUGUC
rnacentral:lncRNA from 1 species